rnacentral:rRNA from 1 species
GAUGAACGCUGGCGGCGUGCCUAAUACAUGCAAGUUGAGCGAUGGAGCGUGGUGCUUGCUCCAAUUUUGAGAGCAGCGAACGGGUGAGUAACGCGUGGGUAAUCUGCCUUUGAGCGUGGGACAACAUUUGGAAACGAGUGCUAAUACCGCAUAACAAUUUGAAACAUAAGUUUUAAGUGUGAAAGAUGCAAUUGCAUCACUCAAAGGUUGUCCCGCGGUGUAUUAGCUAGUUUGGGAGGUAAAGGCCCAACCAGGCGAAGAUACAAAACCGGACUGAAGAGGUGAUCCGCCAAAAUGGGAACGAGAACCGGCCCCAACUCCCACGGGAGGCCGCAGUAGGGAAUUUUCGGGAAUGGACGAAAGUCUGAACGGGCAACGCCGCGGGAGUGGAGAAGGUUUUCGGAUUGUAAAACCCUGUUUAUAGGGGAGAAAGAUGGGGGGAGUGAAAAGCUCACAAAGUGACGGUAACUAAUCAGAAAGCGACGGCUAACUACGUG